GUGCUCCCCCGCCAAUUCCUUUAAGUUUGCUGUUCGAUGGGGGUUGGGGAGUGGAGUGUUUCCUUUUCAAGUUUUUCCCUCAUCGGAUUUCAGCCUUGCGGCCGUACUCCCCAGGCGGUGGACUUAACGGCUUCCCUCCAGCACUAGGGCAGCUCGGGGCCGGCGUAACACUUAGUCCACAUCGUUUACAGCCAGGACUACCCGGGUAUCUAAUCCGGUUCGCUCCCCUGGCUUUCAUCCCUCACCGUCCAGCGCGUUCUGGCAAGCCGCCUUCGCCACUGGUGGUCUUCAACGGAUCAGCGGAUUUUACCCCUACCCAUUGAGUACCGCUUGCCUCUCCCGCCUCCUAGCGCUGUAGUAUCCCCCGCAGCCCAACUGUUAAGCAGGUGGAUUUAACGGAAGACUUGCAGUACCGGCUACGGAUGCUUUAAGCCCAAUAAUCGUCCCGACCACUCCGGUUGCCGGUAUUACCGUGGCGGAUGGAACCGGUCUUGCCCAGCUCUUAUUCGUACACCUCCUUACGGUGAACAAAAGCGAGGACUGUAUGCCCUCGCACUUGGGGUUCCCUUAUCGCACUGUCGUGCAUUGUAAAGUUUUCACCCCUGCUGCACCCCUUA
rnacentral:rRNA from 1 species